rnacentral:lncRNA from 1 species
AAGCUAUUGAGCCAAUCUGCAGCGCUUUUUUAGUUUUUAUUUUGACACAGGUUCUCACUAAGUUGCUUAGAGCCUCACUGAAUUGCUGAGGCUGGUUUUGAACUUGUGAUCCUCCUGAGUCACUGGGAAUACAGGCGCGUGCCAGCAAGCCAGGCUGAUUUUAUUUUAUUUCUUAACAUUGCCAAAUAUUUGACCAAAAUAAUAGGAAAAGUCCCAUUCCCGUUAACUCUCCUGGCUGCUGAACACCCUGGCUGUCCUUAUUUGGGGCUUCCCUGGCCCACUCUUGGUGGCAGGGCCUUACCAGCCAACACAUCUGCUUGCUACCUCUCCAGGCAAGUUGUUUCACUGAGGCCCUGAGAGGUUCGCCCAAGGGUGCAUUCCCACACACUUACAAACAGGUGGCAGCACUCUCCAAGUCUGUCACUCCAAAACCUGCAAAGCCUCUGAAAAAUAAAUUGUGGUGUCAGUCUCUCUUACUGCUGAGGAAACCAAGAAUGGUGAGGAAAUACUUCUACACCUAAGUGCAUCUUCGUGCAAAAAGUUAAGAUCUGACCCGGUUCCUAAUGCAUCUCAAUCUUUGACCUCUGGAGGCAUUUGGCAAUAUCAGUAGAUAUUUUUGAUUGUCACCAGUUGUGAGUAGUGGGUGGUGCUACUGGCAUCUGUUGGUUGGUGGCCAGGGAUGCUGCUAAAUAUUCUCCCCAGGACAGUUCCCAACAACAAAGAAAUGUCUAGCCCAAAAGAACAAUAGUAAUGAGAUUGAGAAACACUGAUCUAAUCACAUUCUCAAGAGUCAAUGGCCACGAAGAGACAGGAGAGGGACUUCCAUUGUCUCCUUCACCUUCAUCAUUUCCCACAUUUCCCUCAGACUCAACUCAUUCCUGUUUCUGAUGACGCUUCUGAGCAGCAUAUACAAGGCCCUGUGCUGGACCCUGGAGAGACCCCCAGGGACAAAGGUGAUAGUCCCUGCCUUCCUUUCCAGAGCUCAGACUUCAGGGAAAUGCAUUACGCAUUUGCAAAUGUGACAAGUGCAAUGUGGGGACAAAAAAGAGACUAAGAAUGAUACAGAGGGAACCAACUUUAACAACAAUGAUGGGGGACUGGAGGUGUAGCUCAGUGGUAGAGUUCUUGCCUAGCAUGCCUGAGGCCCUGGGCUCAAUCCCAGUGCUAAGGAAGUGGGGGGAAGGCAGUGGGAAAGGCCUCUAAAAAGUUG